rnacentral:rRNA from 1 species
AGCCUACGGGACGCAGCAGUGAGGAAUAUUGGUCAAUGGGCGAGAGCCUGAACCAGCCAAGUCGCGUGAGGGAAGACGGUCCUAUGGAUUGUAAACCUCUUUUGCCGGGGAGCAAAAAGCGGUACGUGUACCGCAUCGAGAGUACCCGGAGAAAAAGCAUCGGCUAACUCCGUGCCAGCAGCCGCGGUAAUACGGAGGAUGCGAGCGUUAUCCGGAUUUAUUGGGUUUAAAGGGUGCGCAGGCGGCGAGUUAAGUCAGCGGUAAAAUUUCGGGGCUCAACCCAGGCCGGCCGUUGAAACUGGGGG